rnacentral:rRNA from 1 species
UGUGCCCUUGAGGCGUGGCUUCCGGAGCUAACGCGUUAAGUCGACCGCCUGGGGAGUACGGCCGCAAGGUUAAAACUCAAAUGAAUUGACGGGGGCCCGCACAAGCGGUGGAGCAUGUGGUUUAAUUCGAUGCAACGCGAAGAACCUUACCUACUCUUGACAUCCAGAGAACUUAGCAGAGAUGCUUUGGUGCCUUCGGGAACUCUGAGACAGGUGCUGCAUGGCUGUCGUCAGCUCGUGUUGUGAAAUGUUGGGUUAAGUCCCGCAACGAGCGCAACCCUUAUCCUUUGUUGCCAGCGGUUCGGCCGGGAACUCAAAGGAGACUGCCAGUGAUAAACUGGAGGAAGGUGGGGAUGACGUCAAGUCAUCAUGGCCCUUACGAGUAGGGCUACACACGUGCUACAAUGGCAUAUACAAAGAGAAGCGACCUCGCGAGAGCAAGCGGACCUCAUAAAGUAUGUCGUAGUCCGGAUUGGAGUCUGCAACUCGACUCCAUGAAGUCGGAAUCGCUAGUAAUCGUGGAUCAGAAUGCCACGGUGAAUACGUUCCCGGGCCUUGUACACACCGCCCGUCACACCAUGGGAGUGGGUUGCAAAAGAAGUAGGUAGCUUAACCUUCGGGAGGGCGCUUACCACUUUGUGAUUCAUGACUGGGGUGAAG